rnacentral:ncRNA from 1 species
ACCUCAUCGACAAUUCAAUGAGCAAGAAGCCGCAGGUGGUUCGCAUCGAGCCGACCGACAAGGCAUUCAAGACGGACGGCUGCCAGCCCUGGCAGCAGACGGAUGGUGCGCCGCCCCCCGAUGCUUCCGGGCCGGCCGCGGGGGCCCAACUUCAAGGUAUUCUCGGCAUCCUCAACGGGAUGCUCCCUAACGGCCAGCAAGCG